ACCCCAAAAUCCUCAGCACAAGAGAAAGAGGUACAGAGAGAGAAUGGAGCAAGGCAGGUCCCAGAGCCCUGGUUGUGCUGCCUGGUGUGUCCCAGCAGUGUCAGCUGCCUUGGAGCAGCACCUCAGCUACUUCUCCUGCUCUCUGAAGACUUGUGUGAAAUGACCAAGAUACAAAGGGCCAGGGCUGCUCCUGGAAGAGGAAAAGCCUAUUGGUGUUGCCUGAAUGAAGGGGCUGAGUCUCUGCAUUCAUAUCCUGGGAAAGCAGUUGAGAUUGAUCCUGGUUUGGUCACCCACUGAUGAGCUAAUUUUAACACCAACCAUGAACAUCUCACCGCUGGAAUUGCCGUGUGCCCGCUUGUGUGAGAGAGCAAAUCACUCCAGCAGUAGCGUGGAUCGUUCUUCUGCACCCAUUGUUAUGGAAAUCACCUUAGAGACUGUUGCUCCAGCAAACAUUUUUAGAAGCACCAGUGAGUUGCGCAACAGGAAAAGUGCUCGGAGUUUACUUCUCAUGCUCCUCAUCACUGCCUGUUCUGGAGCAGGACCAGCUCUCCAGCCUGCGCCCAGGAGCCUCCUGCAGCCUCAGCUGAUGGAAGGGGAAAAGCACAGAUCCAGUGACCUUUGUUUGCCUCACUGCUGCUCACAGUCCCUGCCUGACAUUUGAGGAGUGCUCUUAAAAAAACCUACCAUUUCUGGCACACUGGCCCUGCUGCUGAAGAGCUGUUCCUCUUCCACCUCCUUCACCUACUGGGAUUAAAAGCUACAGGUAAUGCUGGGGAGUAAAUGAAAGGCUUUCCACGAGGAAAUAAGCUAAAACAGUAAACAAAAGGCUGAUUCUUAGAAGCAAAACAACUGAAGGUGUCACCAGGAAAACAUGGUGACGAAUCUCUCUGGUCCUCGGAAGUUGCCUUACAUGUGUUGGAAAUUACCUUGUGACUCAACCAGCUCAGUGUGUCUGGUGCCAGUGUGCUGAAAGCUUUUAGCUGACCUCAAUACCCAAGGUUUUCAAGGAAAUAAUGUUUCCCAUGAGAAAUGUCACCACCAGAGCCAAGCCUUUCCUGAGAAAAGCCUGGCUUAGGUGGGUGAUUUCUCCUGCUCUGGGAGCAGCCUCCCUGAGGAGCUGAGCUCCCACUGCUGUGGCCCUGUGGGCACGCCCAGAGCUCUGCUCUCACUCCUCUGGCAGGGGGGUCUCCAAUGCAAGGUCCAAGUAAAAGCCUUUUAAUCAUCCUGCAGCCAUCUCCUGAGAGUGCUCCUCUUCCCUGCUGCCCUUCUCCCUCCAGAGUCUGCCUUCUUACGCAGAGCCAGUGACUCAUUCCUGGGAUGUCUUUGCUGAAUUUGCCUGGUCACCUCCUUCCCUGAGCGCUGCUUCUUGCUUGUCACAUGGUGAGUGAAGGAGGACAGGCACAGUGUGUGCUGGGAUGGCACCAGCUGCUGGCAGGAUCCCCCUCUCCUCGUGCCCUGGGUGCCCCUAGGCUGGUGCCCUCUCUGUUCUGGGCAGAAGGGAAGGGAUGUGUGUCUCCAAUUCCAUCCUUUUCUCCAAGAUCCACCACCUGAGCCAUGAAAUGCUGUGAGCUCUGCCUGCUCCCCUGGCUUUGCAGGUUCCAGGCUGCCAUUCACAAGGACCUCAGUGUGCAAAGAGGAGCUUUGUGAAGUCCAGCAAAGGGAGUAGGAGCUCCUGCCCCCAAGGAGGAAUGACCCCACUCACCUGUGCAAUGACCCAGUACAAACUGGGGACCAGCUGGCUGGAAAACAGCUGUGCAGGUAGAGACCUGGGAGGGCCUGGUGGAUAAUGAGCUGACCAUGAGCCGGUGGUGCCUUCUCACAAUCAGCAACAUCAUGAGCUGGAUUAAGAAGAUCAUUGCCAGCAGGCCAAGGGAGAAGGAGGAAGGAGGUUUUGAUUCAUCCUUUUGGAUCAAGCAGUGCUGCCAGAAACUGGAUUGGCACAUUGUGAGUGCUUCAGGUACUUCUUGCCAACUCUGAGGUCCAGCAGAGUCCUGCAUGAAGGAUCUUAAACCCCAGUUCCAGGCUUGGAAAGCAGGACACAGACAGAGGGAAGGAACCUGCCCAGCAUCACACAAUUAAGCCAGUGCUGGAUUGGGAAGUGACUUGACUCUUCCCUGAGACCUGGUUCAGUUCCCUCUAUGCUGGGUCCUGUUCUUGUAGGUCAUAUAUGUGUAUUCAAAAGUUGUGAAUGUACCCAAGAGCCUCAGGCUGGCCAAAGGGGUGCUUUGUGUUCAAAAUAAAGUCCUGUUUCCUGGAAACUAAACUUUUUUGGGGAAAAAAGAGCAGGGCUCAGCUGAACAUUGCUAACACUGUGAGGAAAAUAGAAGUUGUUUUUUGAUGCUCUGAAAGAGGAACCAGCCCCUUCCUCCUGAAAUGCUGCAUGGAAAUGGAUUCUUGGGUGUUGUUUAGUUUUAUUUUAACUGUAGUGAGGGGUUGCAAAACCAGAGAAUUUGACACAAGGAAAAAACCUCUGGAACCAGGGCAUCUUCACAGAUGUCCAGCAGAAGUUCUCCAUGAGAGAGCAGCGCUGCCACAGCACAGGUGUGAGAGCUCAAAGCAGGGCAUGAGCCUGGGCUGCCUGUCCAUCCAUAGCCACAAAAUACACUCCAACCAGAACAACUGCCUGAAUGAAAAGCAGCAUUGAAGGGAACCUGUACCGGCUGGGAGACCUGCGCAGCUCAUUGGAGUAAAAGGGUAUGAACAAUGAUUGACUUUAACACCACCCAUGGUGAGAAGCAGCAGCACACUGCAACUUGCUGCCCCAGUGUCUGUGUUGGCUGAGGGUUUAACUGGUGCAUGUUGGGGUUUCACUGAUAGCCAGGGCUGUGGGGCACUGCCACGGGGCUGGGGCUGCCUCUGGGCUCUGGUGUAAA